GAGAAUGCAAUUUUAAUCAUGUUUUAGUUGCUAGCCUCAAAGCUUUCCAACUGCUUCCUCAUAAAAGAUGUCUCUCCUUCACAAUGCUCACAUGAUCCUCUUCUUACAGGGUGCUGCCAAUACCAACUCCACUCAGCAGUUCAGGGGACAGCUUUUCCCCAUAUCCUACGGGAGUGCAGGUUUCUGAAUUUCUUUAUGCUGUGUUCUGACUCCUUUUCCCAGCCCUCGUGCUGCUCAGAAGCACACACGUGCACUGUGCAGUGCGAGAGCCCAAAGAAAAAGGACAACUGGAGACUCCACUUUCUACCUGAUCUAACAGUAAAUGGAUUCUGCCCUUGUAGAGCCUCAAGAGCUGCACUUAUUUCAGUUCUGCCUGAGCCCCUCCUGUGCUUUGGUCUUUUUCAUUCUCAUUAGGUACAAUCGCACAACUAAAAUAGAUCUACAUCUUCCUUUCUGCAGGAUGCUCCCGUGCAACAGCCUGGAGAUUUACCAGCUGUGACCAAGCUUCUGCCCAGUGGCAAGAAGAGCAUCUUAAAGGAAUCACUGAAAUGAACCUCUGCUGAACCCAGCAAAUUUAUCCAAAGUAACCCAAAGAGCAACGACAGCAACUCACUGUAGCAUAAGAGAGAGCAAUACUUACCGCUGA